rnacentral:lncRNA from 1 species
GAGAGCAGGAGCGGAGACGCGGCAUCCAGCGGCCCCGGCCCGGUCCGGGCAGGAGCGCAGCGCGGCGCAGCGCAGCGCCGCCCCCCGCGGCAGCGCGAGCCGAACCGAAAGGGAGCUCCCUGCUGGCGGCUCCGGGGAUAAACAGCCGGCCUUCCUGGCGGCACCUGGGCGCGCCUCCAGAGCGGGCCAGGCGGGCACCGGGCGCUGCCCUAGAGACCUCUGUGAGGGUCCCAGAGGCCCUGCCUGGAGAGAUUGGCAGAGGGAUUAAGAGAACUUUACUAGGAAGAGCUCCUUCCUCUUUCCAAGCUGCUGAGAUUUUUUAUAGUAUUCAUCACCAGCAAAAGAGUAGGGUGAUACAUAAUAAUAAGCCUACAAUGCGUCAGGCAGAUAGUCUCCAUUUUUGGAGGGAGGGGGGCGGUGUUGAGAGAAGGCUGAAUGACUUGCCUGGUCACCCACCCAGGGGGUUUAGGAUUGGAACUCACAUCUGCCAGGCUCAGAGCCCUCCUCACUCACGGCAUCGUCCUGCUCCUCACAGCAGCUACGAGGCCUGAACAAGACAUCCUCCCCUUCUACAAGACACCCUCCACUCCUUCUGGGCAGGCCCCCCAAUCACCCCACACUACUCUCACCAGGAGCCCUGAACUUCCAGGGAGAAAUCAUUUUACCUGUUAGUGUGUCUUGGGUUUGAGAGACUGCUAAGGGCCAAAAGCAGUAUA